GCUAAUUCUUCUGAGGAUAUGGCGUUAAAACAGUGCCGACUGCCGGCACAGACGCUGUGCAAAUCGUGGCGCUGAGAGCGAUUGCGCUGCAUUUUUUUGUGGAUGAGGCCCAUAGUGCAGACCCCACAGAUCAAUAGAUCAAUAAAUCAAACAUUGUUUGCUCGAAAAGACGUGGAAAUUGCAGCUCAAAAGAUUUUACUAAUCUCCACUGUUAACACUCUUUUUGACAAUUUUGUAAAAGUUCCACGCAUUGCAUUGUGGGAUGUGAAGUAAAGCUGUAAGUCAUUAUGCAUGUCAUUAUCUGAGAAGUUUGGAUGUGUUUUAUUGUCUGAUCUUGUUUCUGUGCUGAAGGAUCUUGAACUGAUGAACCAGAAGCAGGAGAGACAGCUAGAGGAAUUACAGCAGAAGACCUCUUUUGCAAUUCAAAAUAAGAUGGCUGGUAAGAACAAAGGAGCGGUCAGUCACCCUCUGUGCAAUGCUGAGGAAAUUGUGCUGCAGGCGAUAAAAGUCACCUUGAUGGAGGAAAAUGAAGAGGUCAUCGCAGAGCUGAUAAGGCACCAGGAAGAAAAACAGAUGCUCCAGGGCAACAUAAUAAAGCUCAGGGAUGACCUGGAAGCAUUGGAGUGUUACAUGAAACAGUUUGAGUUAAAGCUGAAGGACAAAUAUGACAACAUGGAUCAGAAUAAGUCGCAGUUGAAAUGUCUUGAGGAAACCGUUGAAAAGUACACCAACAUCAUUGAGGAUCUUGAACUGAUGAACCAGGAGCAGGAGAGACAGUUAGAGGAAGGACUGCAGAGGACCUCUUUUGAUGCUUUUAAUGAGUCGACAGGUGAGAACAAAGGAGCUCUCAUUCGCCCUCUGUCCAAUGCUCAGGGAAUUCAGCUGCAGGCGAAUGAAGCCACCCUGAUGGAGGAAAAUCAGAAGCUCAGUGCAGAGUUUCAGCUGAAAAGGCUCCAGGAAGAAAAAGAGAAGAACCAGGAGGAGAUAAUAAAGCUCAGGGAUGGCGUGGAAGCAUAUGAGUGUUACGUGAAACAGCUUGAGUUAAAGCUGAAGGAAAAGGAUGAGAUCAUUGAUCAGCAAAAGUCGCAGUUGAAAUGUCUUGAGGAAACCGUUGGAAAGGACACCAACAUCAUUGAGAAGGAAACUGAACCUGAGACAAAGCCUACCGGUGUCACCACUGAACUGACAGUACAUCAGCACAACCAAUGCGCUGAUCAAAGCUAUGCAGACAAGGAAGAAUAUUAUUAUGGUUGGAGCUGGACCCUUUUUCUGAUCACGCUUUUCCUCAUCUAUCUUAUACUUGUGAAAUUUGCGGCUCCAGGACAUUCCUUCUGGAUUUUUUUCAGCGACUUCUUCCUGAUGUUGCAACCACACGUCAGCCUCACCUACCAAACCAUACCUCCUAUAUGAAAGAGAGCAGGGAGGAGCGAUUCAAGGUAGAGAAAUGGAAGGAUGGGGAAGAGUUGAUUACUGUAAAAUGAGAUGUGAAGUUGUAGGCGUGAGGCUUAACUAUAAUGGUGGUGGUUGUGGGCAGAGGGAAGGAGUGAGUGGUGAUACCUGAAACAGGUAUUUGGGAUCAACGUGUCUAAAGUUAAGCCCACUACAAGUUUUAUCCCACAUUCCAAGGUAUGCUAGUGCAUCGUAGACUGACGUAAGUGCAAGAAACUGCCACUGUAAACUCAAGCGCUGCCCCGGACUCGAGGACGCAGCCAGAAUAGCAGAAAGAGCGGGGGCCAGCAAGCCCAGGCAACCCCCCCCAGCCGAGCAACGCCCCCAAGACACCAAGCCGAGAGGCAGCCAUCGCCCCCCACAUACACACCCGAGAAAGCACCUAGAAGCCGAGGAGCCAGCACACUCCGCCACCGCCCCCAACCCCCAACCCCAAGGCCCCCCACCGACACCCACCCCCGCCCGAGAUCCCAGCAGAGGGGCCAAGGCCCACGCCCAGCAGACGGCCAGAGCGGCGACAAACGGGCAGCCGGCAGGCACCCGCCAGUGGGCCCAGAGCCAGCAGGGACCGGACCCCAGGCCAGACGGACCCGGAAUAGAAGAAGCACUUAAUGACAGCCUUCAUGACACCAUAUUCAUGCUAAUGACAGGUGUCACGUCAUAAUAAUGACAGUGUAAUGUUGGCCUUUAUGAAUAAAACUUUAAGUGUUACCUAAAAUGUAAUCA
ensembl:lncRNA MAR-binding filament-like protein 1